rnacentral:rRNA from 1 species
UGCCAGCCGCCGCGGUAAUACGAAGGGUGCUAGCGUUGUUCGGAAUUACUGGGCGUAAAGGGCGUGUAGGCGGUCUAAUCAGUCAGAGGUGAAAGCCCUGGGCUUAACCUGGGAACUGCAUUUAGAACUGGGCAGCUAGAGUACAGCAGAGGAGUGUGGAAUUUCAGGUGUAGCGGUGAAAUGCGUAGAGAUCUGAAGGAACAUCAGUGGCGAAGGCGACACUCUGGGUUGAUACUGACGCUGAGGUGCGAAAGCGUGGGGAGCAAACAGGAUUAGAUA